rnacentral:rRNA from 1 species
AUUGAACGCUGGCGGCAGGCCUAACACAUGCAAGUCGAACGAGUGGCGGACGGGUGAGUAAUGUCUGGGAAACUGCCUGAUGGAGGGGGAUAACUACUGGAAACGGUAGCUAAUACCGCAUACCAUCGGAUGUGCCCAGAUGGGAUUAGCGAGUAGGUGGGGUAACGGCUCACCUAGGCGACGCUCCCUAGCUGGGCUGAGAGGAUGACCAGCAACACUGGGACUGAGACACGGUCCAGACUCCUACGGGAGGCAGCAGUGGGGAAUAUUGCACAAUGGGCGCAAGCCGGAUACAGCCAUGCCGCGUGUAUGAAGAAGGCCUUCGGGUGGUACAGUACUUUCAGCGGGGAGGCGUUACCCGCAGAAGAAGCACCGGCUAACUCCGUGCCAGCAGCCGCGGUAAUAC